AUUGAACGCUGGCGGCAGGCCUAACACAUGCAAGUCGAACGAGAGGCGGACGGGUGAGUAAUGUCUGGGAAACUGCCUGAUGGAGGGGGAAAAAUACUGAAAACGGUAGCUAAUACCGCAUACCAUCGGAUGUGCCCAGAUGGGAUUAGAUAGUAGGUGGGGUAAAGGCUAACCUAGGCGACGAUCCCUAGCUGGUCUGAGAGGAUUCACAGCCACACUGGAACUGAGACACGGUCCAGACUCCUACGGGAGGCAGCAGUGGGGAAUAUUGCACAAUGGGCGCAAGCCUGAUGCAGCCAUGCCGCGUGUAUGAAGAAGGCCUUCGGGUUGUAAAGUACUUUCAGCGGGGAGGCGUUACCCGCAGAAGAAGCACCGGCUAACUCCGUGCCAGCAGCCGCGGUAAUAC
rnacentral:rRNA from 1 species